rnacentral:rRNA from 1 species
AACGUAGACCUCAAGCGUUAUCCGGAUUUAUUGGGCGUAAAGAGCAUGUAGGAGGUUUUGCGCGUCUUUUGUUAAAGCCCGGGGCCUAACCCCGGAUCUGCAAGAGAUACGGCAUGACUAGAGGAGGUUAGAGGUGCAUGGAACGCACGGUGUAGGGGUGAAAUCCGUUGAUAUCGUGCGGAACACCAAAGGCGAAGGCAGUGCACUGGGACCUUCCUGACUCUGAGAUGCGAAAGCGUGGGGAGCAAAAAGG